rnacentral:rRNA from 1 species
GACGAACGCUGGCGGCGUGCCUAAUACAUGCAAGUCGAACGCAUUUUCUUUCACCGUAGCUUGCUACACUGAGAGAAAAUGAGUUGCGAACGGGGGAGUAACACGUCCGUAACCUGCCCAUCAGCGAGGGAUAACACUUGGAAACAGGUGCUAAUACCGCAUAAUUCCAUUUACCGCAUGGUAAAUGGCUGAUGGGCGACUUUGCGCUACUGAUGGAUGGACUCGCGGUGCAUUAGCUAGUUGGUGAGGUAACGGCCUACCAAGGCAGCGAUGCAUAGCCGACCUGAGAGGGUGAUCGGCCACACUGGGACUGAGACACGGCCCAGACUCCUACGGGAGGCAGCAGUAGGGAAUCUUCGGCAAUGGAGGCAAGUCUGACCGAGCAACGCCGCGUGAGUGAAGAAGGGUUUCGGAUCGUAAAACUCUGUUGUUAGUGAAGAACAAGGAUGAGAGUGGAAAGUUCAUCCCUUGACGGUAGCUAAACAGAAAGCCACGGCUAACUACGUG